rnacentral:tRNA from 1 species
GGAGGGGUGGGUGAGUGGUUUAAACCACCAGACUGUAAAUCUGGCGCUCGAAAGGGCUCCGCAGGUUCGAAUCCUGCCCCCUCCACCA